UACGUAGGGGGCAAGCGUUGUCCGGAUUUAUUGGGCGUAAAGAGCGUGUAGGCGGCUUUACAGGUCCGUUGUGAAAACUCGAGGCUCAACCUCGAGACGCCGGUGGAAACCGUAAAGCUAGAGCCCGGAAGAGGAGAGUGGAAUUCCUGGUGUAGCGGUGAAAUGCGCAGAUAUCAGGAAGAACACCCGUGGCGAAGGCGGCUCUCUGGGACGGUACUGACGCUGAGACGCGAAAGCGUGGGGAGCGAACAGG
rnacentral:rRNA from 1 species